CACGCAUACCAAACCUUCUCUCGAUCUACAGCAUGUGUACUGCCGUUGUAAGCAUACCUUUAAAAGAAUAGUAUGCUACUAUGAGUAUAACUCAUAUACAUCAGGUCAAAGUGCAGCCAAUAAGAAGGUGAUGAUGGGUUACAACCCCAAAACAGACUAUCAACUAAGAAAUUAAAAAUCUUACGAAAGUGGACUUGGCCGUAAUUAAUUCUAACUUAAAGAAAUGAAUAAUAUCUAAGACAUGUACACAUCGCCCGUCACUCUACCCUAAAGGUUAGAUAAGUCGUAACAAAGUAGGUGUAAUGGAAAUUGUACCUGUCGGAGUAUAGCAUAUAUAAUGCUUUUUACUUACACUAAAAAUAAAGUGACAACUUACUUCGCCCACAAGAAAAAUCUUAAAUAUAUUUAAUAAUUUGAAUAAUAAAACUAAAACCACAAAGUACAGAAAUGGAAACAACAAUAAAUAAUAGUAAAUUUUAAAAAAUAUACCUUGUGCAUUAUGGUUUUACAAGAAAAAAAUUAAAAUAUAAAUCCCGAAUUCUAAGUGAGAUGUUAAACUGCUGUCAUGAACCCAUUAAUAGCUGUUAAAAAAGCUUUAAAAGACAGAUUAACAGAGGCUACAUACCAUUCGCACAAGAAUAUAGCUGGUUUUCAAUAAACAUUAUAUAUUAAAACAUAUAGUAAUACUAUAGUGUAAUAUUAUUGAGGAUAAGCCCAAUAAUUAAUGCUAUACAUAUAAAUUCCAGUAACUUCCAUAGGCCUAAAACCAGCCAACCAAAUUACUUUACCGUAAAAUAAGCAGAUAAAAUAUAUACAUAUAUUAUGCUAACAAUAAUUGAAAUAAUGGGAAAAUUAACUAACCCACACAUACAAUGUAAAAAUUAGUAUUAUUAUACAAACUCGCACCAAUCUAGAAAAAGCACCACAUAUAUAACAAUAAUUAAUUAAGGAACUCGGCAAAUUAUUAUUUCGACUGUUUAACAAAAACAUUGUCUUAUGAACUCAAUAUAAGAUAGUACCUGCC
rnacentral:rRNA from 1 species